CACCAUACUUCUCUUCUAAAAUUUGCAGAAAUAACUAUGACCAACGUCUUUAAGACCUAUGUUGUCUCAAACAGCAGGUAUCUCAGCAGCAUCCUCAGCAAGAGGCACAUCAUGACAACCCUAAGGUGGUACACAUAGAACCUGGUCAUACUACUGCCUCUUCUACAUGCCAGACACCUCCACCAGGAUCAAGCACCCAGGAAACACAUCCAAGAGAAACAUCAGCUAUGUAAGAUUUAUCUUAGUCUUUGCAAUACCUGUCAACACUAUCUUUUGUCAAUCAAUAAUGCAACAGUUUGAUGUUACGGCCUCAUCUAUUUGUUUACCAAUGUAUGCUAUCUUUGUACCUUCUUACAUAGGAUUACAAAUACCUCUAAACGUCCUACCUUACCUUGUGACAAUGUUCGGGAGCAUCUAUAUAAUGGCAAAGAAUCUGAUAAUUAGUUUGCUCCUACUCUUCUAUCAUUUAUCUCUGCCGCCAACAAUAUCCCACAAACACCUUACUGUUGUGCGGUUUCAGUUAUUUGCACCCUCAGCUCUGAACAUUACCUACAACUAAACUCACACUACUGACAAAAAGAAAAACUCAGCUGUCACUGCACAUGCUUCCACACAAACUUUGGUAAGCCUUUACUGGACACGCGCAGGGGCGCGUGUUUCCUACUAGUAUAGAUAUAGAUGUGGUUGAUUUGGUUCCUCUGAAUUGAGCGGACGAGUUAGGGCUCGUUCUUUUUGUUCGGAACGGACCAUUCCGAGGCGUUGUUCCGGGUGGAACGGAGACACCGGUAUUCAAAAUUGGAGUACCGGAUCUAGGAACGAAACCUGGUGCAGCCGGUGCCGAACGAGCCCUUAGGAGGUAAGUCUUGCUUAUCCCCUAGAGGGAAUAUUCUCCUUCGAUGCAGGUUGACUUGGUUUCUCUUCGAUCCUGGCGAUGCCUGUUUAGAUCCUAAAUUUUUACAUCCCAAAACUUUUGUCUGUAAACUUUACAUUCAAAUAGGUGUUUAGAUGCUUCCCAAAUUUUUUGGUCAACAAGACACAUGACACGGGUCCCUAAGCAAGUUUACAUAGUUUUGAGGCUCCAAGGUCCCAAAUUUCAAAUCUUUACAUCCAAGUUUUACAAGCUCCUGUUUAGAUCUAUUAUUUCAAAAAGUGCUCAUUUCUCCAAAAGUUUUAGCCUGUUUGGAUGGAUCUAAAGAGGCCUACUUUGCGCAAGCGAGCAAAGCGCAGGGUCGAUCGCAGGGGCGUGGGGGCCAAGUGCAGGCCAUGCGUGGGGGUGAGCGCACGCAGCGCGGCUGUCGGGUAUGGCUUGAGCGAGAGGAAGGAGGAUGAGGGCAUAUAGACUGAUGUGUGGGGCCCAUGUGAUAGGGAUUUUACAUGGCUGGUAUUGUGAAUUUUUUAUUUUUAGCCUAAAUUUGAAACAUAUUUUAGAUCUAACCUGAAAUUAAAAAUAUUUUUAAAACUAGACCAUUUGACCCCGCCACCAUAUAUGACAGGUCAAAUGCACUAUACCCCACUAUACAUGGCGGCAGGGUAUAGCUACCACGUGGCCUGUAGCCCGAAGGGAUCUGCUGACGUGACUGACACGUAGCGAAGUAUGUGGCAAAGAGAACCCCGCCACGUGUCAUGGCGUUUUGGGUAUCCCGCCGCGCAUCAUGGCAGGGCGUACUUUGCAGUAGGCCCAUGCAGCUCUGUACAGCACUGUGCAACACUCCUCGAAUGCAGGAGCCAGA